UACAUAGGGACCAAGCGCUGUUCGGAUUUACUGGGCGUAAAGGGCGCGUAGGCGGCGUGUUAAGUCACUUGUGAAAUCUCUAAGCUUAACUUAGAACGGUCAAGUGAUACUGAUGUGCUAGAGUGCAGAAGGGGCAACCGGAAUUCUUGGUGUAGCGGUGAAAUGCGUAGAUAUCAAGAGGAACACCUGAGGUGAAGACGGGUUGCUGGGCUGACACUGACGCUGAGGCGCGAAAGCUAGGGUAGCAAACGGG
rnacentral:rRNA from 1 species